rnacentral:hammerhead_ribozyme from 1 species
CUUGCCGACGAGUCCCAAAUAGGACGAAACGUGCUUCCUGGAC